rnacentral:rRNA from 1 species
AGGGUGUCCGGCCCACUGGGACUGANAUACGGCCCAGACUCCUACGGGAGGCAGCANUGGGGAAUAUUGCACAAUGGGCGCAAGCCUGAUGCCCGACCCGCGUGGGGGAUGACGGCCUUCGGGUUGUAAACCUCUUUCAAUAGGGACGAAGCGCANNUGACGGUACCUAUNGAANAAGCACCGGCCAACUACNUGCCANCANCCGCGGUAAUACNUANGGUGCGANCGUUGUCCGGAAUUACUGGGCGUAAAGAGCUCGUAGGUGGUUUGUCNCGUUGUCCGUGAAAUUUCACAACUCAAUUGUGAGCGUGGGGCGAUACGGGCAGAC